rnacentral:sRNA from 1 species
GUCAAACCCAAUCUUAUGUCCAUUUUUGGGUGCAUUAGCAAGAUAAGAUUAAUAUACCACGCGUUGUUAGCUCAAUUGGUAAAGACCCUAGGCGAAGUUUAGAGGUCGCCGGUUCGAAUGACGCUUGGAACGAAACUAAUAUUACAUGCUGUGGUUUCGGGCCUAGGAGGAUUACGGGCUUCGGCCCAGAACCUCCUGGUAUUCAAAAAAAAA